AUUGAACGCUGGCGGCAGGCUUAACACAUGCAAGUCGAACGAUGAUUACCUAGCUUGCUAGAUAUGAUUAGUGGCGGACGGGUGAGUAACAUUUAGGAAUCUGCCUAGUAGUGGGGGAUAGCUCGGGGAAACUCGAAUUAAUACCGCAUACGACCUACGGGUGAAAGGGGGCGCAAGCUCUUGCUAUUAGAUGAGCCUAAAUCAGAUUAGCUAGUUGGUGGGGUAAAGGCCCACCAAGGCGACGAUCUGUAACUGGUCUGAGAGGAUGAUCAGUCACACCGGAACUGAGACACGGUCCGGACUCCUACGGGAGGCAGCAGUGGGGAAUAUUGGACAAUGGGGGCAACCCUGAUCCAGCCAUGCCGCGUGUGUGAAGAAGGCCUUUUGGUUGUAAAGCACUUUAAGCAGGGAGGAGAGGCUAAUGGUUAAUACCCAUUAGAUUAGACGUUACCUGCAGAAUAAGCACCGGCUAACUCUGUGCCAGCAGCCGCGGUAAUACAGAGGGUGCGAGCGUUAAUCGGAAUUACUGGGCGUAAAGCGAGUGUAGGUGGCUCAUUAAGUCACAUGUGAAAUCCCCGGGCUUAACCUGGGAACUGCAUGUGAUACUGGUGGUGCUAGAAUAUGUGAGAGGGAAGUAGAAUUCCAGGUGUAGCGGUGAAAUGCGUAGAGAUCUGGAGGAAUACCGAUGGCGAAGGCAGCUUCCUGGCAUAAUAUUGACACUGAGAUUCGAAAGCGUGGGUAGCAAACAGGAUUAGAUACCCUGGUAGUCCACGCCGUAAACGAUGUCUACUAGCCGUUGGGGUCCUUGAGACUUUAGUGGCGCAGUUAACGCGAUAAGUAGACCGCCUGGGGAGUACGGCCGCAAGGUUAAAACUCAAAUGAAUUGACGGGGGCCCGCACAAGCGGUGGAGCAUGUGGUUUAAUUCGAUGCAACGCGAAGAACCUUACCUGGUCUUGACAUAGUGAGAAUCCUGCAGAGAUGCGGGAGUGCCUUCGGGAAUUCACAUACAGGUGCUGCAUGGCUGUCGUCAGCUCGUGUCGUGAGAUGUUGGGUUAAGUCCCGCAACGAGCGCAACCCUUUUCCUUAUUUGCCAGCGGGUUAAGCCGGGAACUUUAAGGAUACUGCCAGUGACAAACUGGAGGAAGGCGGGGACGACGUCAAGUCAUCAUGGCCCUUACGACCAGGGCUACACACGUGCUACAAUGGUAGGUACAGAGGGUUGCUACACAGCGAUGUGAUGCUAAUCUCAAAAAGCCUAUCGUAGUCCGGAUUGGAGUCUGCAACUCGACUCCAUGAAGUCGGAAUCGCUAGUAAUCGCAGAUCAGAAUGCUGCGGUGAAUACGUUCCCGGGCCU
rnacentral:rRNA from 1 species